GGGAGUACGGCCGCAAGGUUAAAACUCAAAUGAAUUGACGGGGGCCCGCACAAGCGGUGGAGCAUGUGGUUUAAUUCGAUGCAACGCGAAGAACCUUACCUGGUCUUGACAUCCACAGAAGAAUCCAGAGAUGGAUUUGUGCCUUCGGGAACUGUGAGACAGGUGCUGCAUGGCUGUCGUCAGCUCGUGUUGUGAAAUGUUGGGUUAAGUCCCGCAACGAGCGCAACCCUUAUCCUUUGUUGCCAGCGGUUAGGCCGGGAACUCAAAGGAGACUGCCAGUGAUAAACUGGAGGAAGGUGGGGAUGACGUCAAGUCAUCAUGGCCCUUACGACCAGGGCUACACACGUGCUACAAUGGCGCAUACAAAGAGAAGCGACCUCGCGAGAGCAAGCGGACCUCAUAAAGUGCGUCGUAGUCCGGAUUGGAGUCUGCAACUCGACUCCAUGAAGUCGGAAUCGCUAGUAAUCGUGGAUCAGAAUGCCACGGUGAAUACGUUCCCGGGCCUUGUACACACCGCCCGUCACACCAUGGGAGUGGGUUGCAAAAGAAGUAGGUAGCUUAACCUUCGGGAGGGCGCUUACCACUUUGUGAUUCAUGACUGGGGUGAAGUCGUAACAAGGUAACCGUAGGGGAACCUGCGGUUGGA
rnacentral:rRNA from 1 species